CGGAAAUAGCUCAGUUGGUAGAGCAUUAGCCUUCCAAGCUAAGGGUCGCGAGUUCGAACCUCGUCUUCC
rnacentral:tRNA from 1 species